rnacentral:rRNA from 1 species
CCCUACGGGGUGCACUACGGAGCGGAGCGGCUCGGAGCUUCCGUCAUCCCCAUUUCAGGUGGGAACACCAAACGGCAGAUUCUCAUCAUGAAGGAUUUUGGCGCGACGGUGAUCACCUGCACGCCCUCUUACGCCCUGCACCUUGCGGAAGUGGCCCAGGAAGCAGGAGUCGAUUUCAAGGAUCUAAAGUUCAAGGCGGGUAUUUUCGGUGCCGAGCCCUGGUCAGAGGAAAUGCGCCAGGAGAUCGAGCGCAAGCUGCAUCUCAGUGCGGUGGACAUCUACGGGUUGAGUGAAGUCAUGGGUCCCGGCGUUGCCGUGGAAUGUGCCGAGGCGAAAAAAGGCCUUCACGUUGCAGAGGAUCAUUUCAUUGUGGAGGUGAUCCACCCCGAAACGGGAGGGC